CCGCAUGCGCGAANCGUGACGGGGGAACCCCAAGUGCCGUUGGUCUUUUGACUGACGGCUUUUCGGAAGUCUAAGAAGCUCCCGGAAUAAGGGCUGGGCAAGACUGGUGCCAGCCGCCGCGGUAAUACCAGCAGCCCAAGUGGUGGUCGCGUUUAUUGGGCCUAAAGCGCUCGUAGCCGGGCUUGCAAGUCCCUUGUGAAAUCGGACGGCUCAACCGUUCGGCGUGCAAGGGAUACUGCUAGCCUUGGGAUCGGGAGAGGUCGGGGGUACUCUGGGGGUAGCGGUGAAAUGCUGUAAUCCCUGGGGGACCACCAGUGGCGAAGGCGCCCGACCAUAACGGAUCCGACGGUGAGGGGCGAAGGCUAGGGGAGCGAACGGGAUUAGAUACCCCGGUAGUCCUAGCUGUAAAGGAUGCGGGCUGGGUGUCAGGCGCCCUUCGAGAGCGCCUAGUGCCGUA
rnacentral:rRNA from 1 species